rnacentral:rRNA from 1 species
UACAGAGGUCCCGAGCGUUGUUCGGAUUCACUGGGCGUAAAGGGCGCGUAGGCUGCUCGUUAAGUCGGGUGUGAAAACUCUGGGCUCAACCCAGAGCCUGCAUUCGAAACUGACGAGCUAGAGUUCUGGAGGGGAAAGCGGAAUUCCUGGUGUAGCGGUGAAAUGCGUAGAUAUCAGGAGGAACACCGGUGGCGAAGGCGGCUUUCUGGACAGAAACUGACGCUGAGGCGCGAAAGCUAGGGGAGCAAACAGG